rnacentral:rRNA from 1 species
GAUGAACGCUGGCGGCGUGCCUAAUACAUGCGAGUCGAGCGAACAGACGAGGAGCUUGCUCCUCUGACGUUAGCGGCGGACGGGUGAGUAACACGUGGAUAACCUACCUAUAAGACUGGGAUAACUUCGGGAAACCGGAGCUAAUACCGGAUAAUAUAUUGAACCGCAUGGUUCAAUAGUGAAAGACGGUUUUGCUGUCACUUAUAGAUGGAUCCGCGCCGCAUUAGCUAGUUGGUAAGGUAACGGCUUACCAAGGCAACGAUGCGUAGCCGACCUGAGAGGGUGAUCGGCCACCCUGGAGCUGAGACACGGUCCAGACUCCUACGGGAGGCAGCAGUAGGGAAUCUUCCGCAAUGGGCGAAAGCCUGACGGAGCAACGCCGCGUGAGUGAUGAAGGUCUUCGGAUCGUAAAACUCUGUUAUUAGGGAAGAACAAAUGUGUAAGUAACUAUGCACGUCUUGACGGUACCUAAUCAGAAAGCCACGGCUAACUACGUG